UUUAACAGAAUAAACAGAAUCUAAAGCUAUUUGCACUGUGUAAAUAGCAUAUCACUAAAGAAUACCGCUAUUUUCACAGUGUAAAUAGCCUCUAUCGCGACACGCAACAAUGAUGGACAAAAUGUUACCUUGACAACGCUGCGCAUGAGUGCAUCAUUCAGCGCUCGAACAGUUGUUGCAAAUAAAUAUUUCUUCUUAUUGUUAUUAUUUUAAUCAAAUACUGUCUAAUUGUGUCUUAUUUACUAUUAAACUUUUUCAAACUAAACUUGCUAACAAUACAGUCUUAAAUCAUAUUUUUAAUCACUGAUGAAAAUAUUUUAUUAGCUUAUUCUACUUACAUUUGUAUGUAAAGUCAAUAUAAACCCCAACCUUGCUUUAAAAUGCAUCGCAAGAUCUUCUAAGUGAAGAUCACAUGAUCACAAACGGAAAUCACUUCGUGAAGUGACCAUGGCAUGUUCCCUUCACUAACGGACUUCUGGAAGGGCCCUUCGUGAAGGGAUUAAGUUGUUCACUUUCGUUUGGAACGUCCCUACAAAUGGCGUCCCCUUCCCGAAGUGCCCUUGAAAAAAGCCGUUUGGAAUUCGCCCAUUGACUUUUCAUAGUCGUGGUGCACGCGCCACUCAUAGACUGUAAAAAAACAUGGACGUAGUGUCCGUGACGUCACUCGUAGGUUUCUGAAGAGCACUUUUGAAGCCUAAAGUGGGCGGAGCCAACCGCCGCCUAUUUUUUGUAAUCAACAGGAAUAUUACAAACAGGAUAAUGCCUGGAAAAUGGACUGAAAAGACAGGCCUUGACUUACAGGUAAAUUCCAUGAAGUCUCGAAGUGUUACUUUUUGAAAUAUUUCAAUUCACUCAUCUUUCUUUUGUUUUAUUAAAGGGGUUUCCAGGUCAACCUUAUGGCAAUGACUGGUGUCUUUAUGUUAAUGGUAAGAUUGUUUGUUGUUGUUGUUGUUGUUUAUCCUCUGGCUGUUUUUAAUCCUUUUUGCCUCAAUGAUUUUUUCCUGUAUAGUCUGCAUUUUUCAUGGUGAUGGAUUCCUCAUUUGACUACACAAUUGUGAGUACUUCUUUACAGUAAUGUUGAGUCAGAGAGAUUUAAAUAUUCAAAGGGGUUAACUUGCAUGUUAUGAGCAGCUGGACAUGCCAGAACUGCGGAAAUGGUGGUGUGUGUGCUGUUAAUGGAGAACUAUGGGCUGGAUAGGUACAAUAUUUCUUUUAAUUAAAAACAAAAAGUAAUUUUAUGGAUUUAAACAAAUUAUGGAACAAUGUGUUAUAUUGUCACUUUUUACAGCCACGGAAAGGUUUUUGCACACUUCACUGAUGAAUCUAAAGCCUUAAUAAGCGGUGAUUGGCAGCCUGCUUUUAGACGCUAGAGGAGCUAGAGGACACCUGUCAGGAAGAGCCACAACAUUGGGUUCAGGAAUCAUCAUCACAGAAAUGCAUGUUAUUGUGUAGUUGCAUGGACUAUCAGUGGAGGGACAGAAAGCUCUGAGAUUUCAUUAUAAAGAUCUUCAUUUGUGUUCUGAAGAUGAACGAAAGACUUGCGGGUUUGGAACGAUAUGAGGGUGAGUAAUCAUUUUUGGGUGAACCAACCCUUUAACUUCUGUUACCUGGAGUGUUCAAGACAUUGUUAAUGCAGACCAAUAUGGCAUAAGAAAUUAAUUGGGAGUAGAAUGAAUACUUUACACAAACACUUGGUGACAUCACAAUUCAAGAUUUAUUUUAAGCAUAGUAAAUACGCCUGUAGUGAAAAGUGUAACUGAAACUGAGUUUUUGUCUGUUUGUUUUUCCAGACUACAUCCAAAAUAGUGUUUCCACAUCUGAGAUGAAGGCAGUCAUAAGAACCAAGCAGAACGAUGAGGAUAAGCUCUUCAGAAAAUGAAACCUGUCUGAAUAAUGAGGGAAGAAAUGUGCAUGAUUGUGUGAUUUGUAAAUAAACACUAAAUACAUUUAGUGUAACUCUCAGCCUGUUAUUUUAAGUGUAAAGAAAAGUAAAAUCAUUUAUUGUUGCAUUGCUGUUUGAGACUUUCACUGUUGUUUUGUACCUUAAUUAAUUAUAUUGCAGUUGUGUAAAAUAAAACUUGUUAUUCUGAAUAUUCUUGUGGCAUUUCAGUGUUACUGUACAGCAUUUUAUUAGUAUUGCACUUUGGUAGUACUGAAUUGUACUUCAGUUGUAUUAUAUAUUGCAGUACUACUGCAGUUUUAUUGCAGUAUAACUGUAGUAAUACUUCAGCUGAAUUGCAGUAAUACUGCAGUUCUAUUGCAGUUGUUUGUUAGUAAUACUACAGCUCUACUGCAGUUGUAUUUCAAUAGUACUUCAGAUGUAUUGCAGUAAAACGGCAAUAAUGCAGUUUUUAACAAACUGAAACAAAAGAAAAUGCAUAAUGUGCCUCUUUGCAUUCCUUCUGUUUUUAUUUUAUGGAAGUGUUCUAAAGUUUUUUUCAUUUUUAUAUUGUACUAUUUUAUAAAACUAUUGUCAGUUUAUCCAAUAAUAAAAAUUGUUAGUACAGUAGUUGUAAAUAGGCUGUCUCCUUGUGACAGGUUAAAAAAAAAAAAAACAUUUGCAUCAACCUAAUGUUUUUUUUUUUUUAAUCCAUAAUUUUGGAAGAUAAUUUUUUGUUGCUAUUUAAACCUUAUAGUUCUCUUUUAUCUUUGAUAGUGAUUAGCUUUGCUGGUAUAAAUGUUAAAAAGUCGCAGCCUACUUUAAUGGCAAAGUAACGUUACA